GAGUGUACUCCAACAUGACCGACACGGAGUUCACGCAGGCCCUGGCCAGUGGUGCAGAGCAAGGCUACUUGAUACAUGUCAAGGAGCACAAGACAAACAGGUCUUUUGGGGAGGCCCAGCUGGUCCUCACAGAUGUGGAGUUUGGGUGGCUGCAACGGUGGAUGGCCAUCAAGACCAAAGUCCCCAAGAAGGAGAGGAACACCUUUGUGAUGUUCACGAAAGGGACGGGUCCCUGUAAAAAUCUAAACAGGCCUGGGCGGAGCUGAGAAUAGGCGGCAAUGUCAGCUUCACCCUUAUUCGGACGGCACUUGCGCACUACGCAAAAAAGGCCACGGACGUCACUGCCAGGAAGAGGGUGGCAGACUUCAUGUGCCACGAUGUCACCACGGCGGACCGCUUCUACGCCAGGUGCCCCGAUGUCAAGGAGGCUAUGGCGAUCCGGUGUCUCAUCCGAGACAGCCUCAGGACGGAGGAGAGGGCCGGACCAUCUACUGCCGUGGUGGCAUCAUUUACUCCCCUGGGAGGAGGGACCUGUGUGGAGGAG